UACGUAGGUGACAAGCGUUGUCCGGAUUUACUGGGCGUAAAGAGCGCGCAGGCGGUCGUUCAAGUCGAGUGUGAAAGCCCCCGGCUCAACUGGGGAGGGUCAUUCGAUACUGAUCGACUCGAAGGCAGGAGAGGGAAGUGGAAUUCCCGGUGUAGUGGUGAAAUGCGUAGAUAUCGGGAGGAACACCAGUGGCGAAGGCGGGCUACUGGGCCGAUACUGACGCUGAUGCGCGAAAGCCAGGGGAGCAAACGGG
rnacentral:rRNA from 1 species